rnacentral:rRNA from 1 species
UACGGAGGAUGCAAGCGUUAUCCGGAAUCACUGGGCGUAAAGCGUCUGUAGGCGGUCAAUUAAGUCAACUGUUAAAUCUUGAGGCUCAACCUCAAAAUUGCAGUCGAAACUAUUAGACUAGAGUAUAGUAGGGGUAAAGGGAAUUUCCAGUGGAGCGGUGAAAUGCGUAGAGAUUGGAAAGAACACCGAUGGCGAAGGCACUUUACUGGGCUAUUACUAACGCUCAGAGACGAAAGCUAGGGGAGCAAAUGGG